UACUCUUUGCCUGUGUCCUCACAUUUGAAUUUUCCAGGACUAAAGAUGCUUUCAUAGGGCUCUAGGUGGGCAGUGCAGCACAGAGGCUUGAGGCACAACUUCUCUAGCUUAGAAGGCUCGGCCUAAAAAAUCACCUCCAUGCAUGGACCAGACUGCAAGUGGUCGCUCUCUCUCCUGCUUUGUUGAGGGCACUUGAAACUUCCCAGUGUAGGCUGGGAGAGAAGCAAAAUCACAAAGAUGAUGGUAAAUAACUUCCCCUUUCCCCUUGUGAAAAUUACACGACAGAUGGGGAGCUCUCGCACUGCCCAUGCAAUUGGGUUCCUGUUUCCCCUGGGAGAGGACCUGGCAGCCCUGGCAGGAAGAGAAGGCCAGGAUGCAGCACCUCAACAGGAAUCACCCAUCCAACUGGGAAAUCAUCCAGUCAACAGAAAACCGCCAUGGAGAGGUGUUAAAUGACUAAUCCAGACCUCCUAACACCACACAAAAGAGUGUUUUCACUGGACAGCUGGCAGAUGAUAGAAGAUUAACAGACCUCCUGACUCCUUGCCUUUUCUACUGUUGAUUCAUACAACUCCUAGAUUCUGUCAUAACUACAUAACAAAGCUAAUUAUAAAAAAAUAAUCUGAGA